AAGAGAUUUAUGUCAAAGUGAAAGCUUCUAACUUUAUACUUCAGCGGUUCAAUUCCGUUUACCUCUCA
rnacentral:tRNA from 1 species